GCAAACUUGGUCAUUUAGAGGAAGUAAAAGUCGUAACAAGGUUUCCGUAGGUGAACCUGCGGAAGGAUCAUUAUCGAAUCGAACAAACCGGGUUGAUGCUGGCCCCUCGGGGCAUGUGCACGCCCGGCCCAUUCGUUUCCUCACCCUUGUGCACUCUUUGUAGGUGCUCUCAAGGAGCUCUUCGCGCCUCUUGGCCCGUCGCGGGGGGACUUGUCGGAUUCGGCUGUCCCUGUUCUCAAGGCUCCUUGGGGUUUGGCCCCUACGAACCAUUUGUACACACCUUUGAUAGCAUGUAUUUGUAUAGUGACGGGGUUGACCCCUCGCGGGCCCCCAUACGCUUUGAUCAAUACAACUUUCAACAACGGAUCUCUUGGCUCUCGCAUCGAUGAAGAACGCAGC
rnacentral:misc_RNA from 1 species